rfam:Otolemur garnettii contig127725, whole genome shotgun sequence.
GCUGGGUAUGAUACCACAUGCCUAUAUUCCCACCUACUUAAGAGGGUGAGGCAGGAGGAUAGCUUGAGUCUAGGAGCUCUGCACUGUAGUGUGCUGUACCAAUUGGGUGGUCUGCAUUAAGUUCAGCAUCAAUAUAGCGACCUUCCAGGAUCAGGCAACCACUAGUUUCCCUAAGGGCACAUGAACCAGCCCAGGUUGGAAACAGAGCAUGAACUCCUAUGCUGAUCAGUUGUGAGAUCUCACUGUGAAUAACCACUGAACUCCAGCCUGGGCAACAUAGCAAGACCCUGUCUCUU